GCCCCGGCACUGGAGAGGAGCAGUGGCCGGUCACUAUGGAGACGGGCUUCUACAACCACACGAAAGGAUUCCACCCAGGAGGACAGGUCCCGGGAUUAAGAGGAUUCGUUUUCACGUAUUGGUCCAGCCGACGGCUCGCCUUCUCUUUGCUGCUUUAAUUGGGCGUAGUGGAAGGGCCGCGUGCCCUCUGCGCUCGCUGGCUUUCUCGCCAUCUGCUGCAGGAAAAGACUGCGUUUGCCGAGAAAAUAAAGAAGAUACCAAGAAUGACCGAGUGCGACUGGUCACAGGGUAGCACCUUUCACCUAAGCAGCCUUCCUUGUGCUGAGGAAACCUAGGAGGCAUUUCAAAAAAAGCUGACCUGUUGCAAUGCCACAGGAUUCAGGAUAAGAAAAGUACUUCAGCUUCAAAUUCAGAUACAGAAAUGAAACCUGAACAACGGCCUUCUUGUGUGAACCCUGGCAAUCCUGUGUUUUCGUGUAUGUUGGACCCAAGGUCACUCCAUACAGCUACCUCACUAUCAAAACCUAAGAUGAUUAUGUAUAAAACCAAUUCAAGUAAUUACGGUGAAUUUUUACCUAUGCCACAGUUUUUCCCCUGUUAUUAUACUCCAAAGGAGCAAGUAUUUUCAGGCCAUAUCAGAGCUACUGGUUUUUAUCAAAAUAACACUCUAAAUACUACACCUGACAGAACAAGAACACUUGAUUUUCCUAAUUUUCAACACACUCUAUGAAAAUAUAUUACUCAAAUAAAGAGAAAAUAUACUCA